GGGGAUGUAGUUCAGUUGGUAGAGUAUGCCUUGCAUGCACAAGGCCUGGGUUCAAUCCCCAGCACCACCA
rnacentral:tRNA from 1 species